CUACGGGAGGCACCAGUGGGGAAUCUUAGACAAUGGGCGCAAGCCUGAUCUAGCCAUGCCGCGUGAGCGAUGAAGGCCUUAGGGUUGUAAAGCUCUUUCAGCGAGGAAGAUAAUGACUGUACUCGCAGAAGAAGCCCCGGCUAACUCCGUGCCAGCAGCCGCGGUAAUACGGAGGGGGCUAGCGUUGUUCGGAAUUACUGGGCGUAAAGCGCACGUAGGCGGAUCAGAAAGUCAGAGGUGAAAUCCCAGGGCUCAACCUUGGAACUGCCUUUGAAACUCCUGAUCUUGAGUUCGAGAGAGGUGAGUGGAAUUCCGAGUGUAGAGGUGAAAUUCGUAGAUAUUCGGAGGAACACCAGUGGCGAAGGCGGCUCACUGGCUCGAUACUGACGCUGAGGUGCGAAAGCGUGGGGAGCAAACAGGAUUAGAUACCCGUGUAGUC
rnacentral:rRNA from 1 species